CCCGAGCAAACUGUCCAUCAUCUUCGCGCGGGCGUUUCGUCACGAUCUGCAUGUGUUCUUGCCUCGAUCGCGCCUACUUCUCUGUAAGGCAUUCUCCCAGUUCCCUUUCACUCUGUCGUAAUCGCUGGUUCCAGCACUUCGCACAGUCUUGCUUUGCUCCUUGUUGGCUGGAAAAAACAUUAAUAUCCCCUUUUUAUUUCCUUUUUUUCGAUUCCCUAGUUUGAGUUGACGAGCAGGUCCGUUUUGCGUUUGAUGUUUUCCUAAUCCCUUUUGAGUCAGAGGCAAUGGGGUUUUCUAUAUUUAUCCAGACAGUGACGCAUGAAUAGGUUAUUGGGCUGUUGCGUUUGACUGCUUCAAGACUUCACCAAAUUCCUUUCCUCUUCACUCAGAAACUUCUGGGUUUUGUUGGGUUUCAUUGAUGUCCAUAAAGCCCCCAAUUUGGGUCAUUGACAAGGACCCAAUUGAACUUUUGACCGCACAAGUAUUUGGGGGAGGCGGUAGGUGGCUGAGGGUUACAGUUUUGUGGGACUAAUGGCUGGUCUAAGUCUUAAAGACGACCAUCUAACACUUGGAAUUGACAAUAUAAACAAUGAAACCAAAGACAAUUACAACAAGGAUAUUGCGGAGAGAGGAAGUGAAGGCGAGAGAGAGAUGGCACCGCCCGCCGGAAAUUCGAUCAGCCGAUCGGGUUCUCGGCCGCAGCUUGACCUCAGCAAGGCCGAGAUUCAAGGGAAUUUUGAGGAGAGGGACCCAACAAUACUCUUGCCUAAUCAGUCUGAUGAUAUAUCUCAUUUGGCUCUAGAUAUUGGAGGUUCUCUUAUAAAGUUGGUUUAUUUUUCAAGACAUGAGGACCGAUCAACCAAUGGCAAGAGAAAGAAGUCUCUCAAGGAGAGAUUGGUUGUUUCAAAUGGCAAUAGGAGGAGCUUCCCUAUUCUUGGAGGAAGGCUACAUUUUUUGAAGUUUGAGACAACCAAGAUUAAUGAGUGCUUAGAUUUUAUUUCUUCCAAGCAGCUUCAUUGUGGUGGGAUGGAUGCACACUGUUGCAAUUCCGAUGACCAGAGUAGUGAUGAUGCAGUAAUUAAGGCUACAGGUGGUGGGGCAUACAAAUUUGCAGAGCUCUUUAAAGAAAGGCUUGGAGUUAGCAUAGAAAAGGAAGACGAAAUGAAUUGUCUUGUGGCUGGUGCCAAUUUCUUGCUCAAGGCAAUUCGUCAUGAAGCUUUCACGCACAUGGAGGGUCAAAAAGAAUUUGUGCAGAUUGACCAAAAUGAAUUAUUUCCAUACCUUCUUGUCAAUAUUGGGUCUGGUGUGAGCAUGAUCAAGGUUGAUGGGGAUGGUAAGUUUGAGCGAGUUAGUGGAACCAAUGUUGGUGGUGGCACAUAUUGGGGCUUGGGAAAGCUGUUAACAAAAUGCAAGAGUUUUGAUGAAUUGCUGGAGCUGAGUCAGCGAGGAGACAACAGAACAAUAGAUAUGCUUGUUGGUGACAUCUAUGGUGGUAUGGAUUACUCAAAGAUUGGUCUCUCUGCAUCAACAAUUGCUUCCAGUUUUGGCAAGGCAAUUUCUGAAAAAAAGGAUCUUGAAGACUACAGACCUGAAGAUAUCUCUCUCUCUCUCUUGCGUAUGAUCUCAUACAAUAUUGGACAGAUAUCAUAUUUAAAUGCUCUGCGGUUUGGUCUUAAGAGGAUAUUUUUUGGAGGAUUCUUUAUUAGAGGCCAUGCUUAUACAAUGGACACAAUCUCUUUUGCUGUUCAAUUCUGGUCGAAAGGAGAUGCAAAGGCAAUGUUUCUAAGGCAUGAAGGAUUCCUGGGAGCUUUAGGUGCAUUUAUGAGCUAUGAGAAGCAUGGUUUGGAUGACUUGAUGGUUCAUCAGUUGGUAGAAAGGUUUCCAAUGGGUGCACCAUAUACUGGAGGAAAAAUUCAUGGUCCACCACUGGGGGAUUUAAAUGAAAAGAUAUCAUGGAUGGAAAAGUUUGUGCAGAAGGGGAAUGCCAUUACUGCUCCUGUUCCAAUGACUUCACCAAGAACCACAGGUCUUGGGGGCUUUGAAGUUCCAUUAUCCAAGGGAGAUGGUCUGCGUUCAGAUGCAAGUAAUCUUAAUGUUGGUGUUCUUCAUCUUGUUCCCACCUUGGAGGUCUUUCCAUUAUUGGCAGACCCAAAAAUAUAUGAGCCGAACACUAUAGAUCUUUUGGACCCAAAUGAGCUGGAAUAUUGGUUAACUGUACUGUCAGAGCAUUUGCCAGACCUCGUUGAUAAGGCUGUGGCAAGUGAAGGUGGAACAGAUGAUGCUAGAAGGAGGGGGGAUGCAUUUGCCCGCGCAUUUUCUGCCCACUUAGCAAGGUUGAUGGAAGAACCUGCUGCAUAUGGAAAGUUGGGACUGGCCAAUCUUUUGGAGCAAAGGGAAGAGUGCUUGAGGGAAUUCCAUUUUGUUGAUGCCUAUAGAAGCAUAAAACAGAGGGAAAAUGAAGCGUCACUUGCUGUUCUUCCUGACCUUCUAAUGGAGCUUGAUAGUAUGAACGAGGAAACAAGGCUGCUUGCACUAAUUGAAGGUGUUCUUGCUGCAAACAUAUUUGAUUGGGGAUCUCGUGCCUGUGUUGAUCUCUACCAUAAGGGAACAAUUAUUGAAAUAUAUAGAAUGAGCCGCAACAAGAUGCAAAGACCUUGGCGGGUGGAUGAUUUUGAUCUUUUUAAGGAGAGAAUGUUAGAAUCUGGAAACAAGAAACCUCGCCCACAUAAAAAAGCAUUGCUCUUUGUGGAUAACUCCGGUGCUGACAUUGUACUGGGAAUGCUUCCACUAGCACGGGAGCUCCUCAGACGUGGAACUGAAGUUGUUCUGGUUGCUAACUCCCUCCCUGCACUAAAUGAUGUUACUGCCAUGGAGCUUCCUGAUAUUGUGGCUGAGGCUGCCAAGCAUUGUGACAUUCUCCGCAGGGCUGCUGAGGCAGGCGGACUACUAGUAGAUGCAAUGACAAAUAUCCAGGAUGCUUCCAAAGAAAAUUCCUUGUCAGUUCCUUUAAUGGUAGUUGAGAAUGGUUGUGGCAGUCCGUGCGUAGACCUGAGGCAGGUUAGCCCAGAGCUAGCUGCUGCCGCAAAAGAUGCUGAUCUGAUCAUCUUGGAAGGAAUGGGUAGAGCUCUACACACAAACUUUAAUGCCUGGUUUAAAUGUGAUGCUCUAAAGAGUAUCUUUCUGGCCUAAGCAUUUGUCGAUCUUCGUCAUCUUAAAUUUUUAAAGUCGUCUUCACAGUUAGGGCUCAUCAUUCAAAGUUGAGACAACAAAUCUUGCGAUGGUGAAGAAUCAGCGGCUGGCAGAAAAGUUGAUUGAAGGGACUAUAUACGACUGUGUCUGCAGAUAUGAGCCAGCUAGUUGAGAGCUCUCUGAUACUCGUGUUUGGUUGGUUGGUUGGGCCUCCGCGAGUUCAUUUGUUUUUCGGUGGCUGCAGGCAGCUGGAAUGUGGCCAUAUAAACUGAAAAAAGCCGUGAUCUUGCUUUCUUCUGAUCCUUUAGGUCUUCUGUUUUUGUUAAUUUAGUAGGCAGGUAGCCUAAAAACCAUUCAUCCUAGAUAGCUAUAGCAUGCAAAUGUAAAAGAUGAGAGAAACAUUGAACCUUAUAAGCUGCUACCUUCUUUUUCAAAUGUUCUGAAAAGGCUACUACUGUGUGGCAGCCAACAAUUUAUACAUGCACAGUGGACGUUCCUGUUGCAUUUGCC